rnacentral:rRNA from 1 species
UACAGAGGGUGCGAGCGUUAAUCGGAAUUACUGGGCGUAAAGCGCACGUAGGCGGCUUGGUAUGUCGGGUGUGAAAUCCCCGGGCUCAACCUGGGAACUGCAUCCGAAACUGCCUUGCUAGAGUAUGGGAGAGGGAAGUGGAAUUUCCGGUGUAGCGGUGAAAUGCGUAGAUAUCGGAAGGAACAUCAGUGGCGAAGGCGACUUCCUGGACCAAUACUGACGCUCAGGUGCGAAGGCGUAGGGAGCAAACAGG